UGGGGAAUAUUGCGCAAUGGGGGGAACCCUGACGCAGCCAUGCCGCGUGAAUGAAGAAGGCCUUCGGGUUGUAAAGUUCUUUCGGUAUUGAGGAAGGUUGAUGUGUUAAUAGUACAUCAAAUUGACGUUAAAUACAGAAGAAGCACCGGCUAACUCCGUGCCAGCAGCCGCGGUAAUACGGAGGGUGCGAGCGUUAAUCGGAAUAACUGGGCGUAAAGGGCACGCAGGCGGUUAUUUAAGUGAGGUGUGAAAGCCCUGGGCUUAACCUAGGAAUUGCAUUUCAGACUGGGUAACUAGAGUACUUUAGGGAGGGGUAGAAUUCCACGUGUAGCGGUGAAAUGCGUAGAGAUGUGGAGGAAUACCGAAGGCGAAGGCAGCCCCUUGGGAAUGUACUGACGCUCAUGUGCGAAAGCGUGGGGAGCAAACAGGAUUAGAUACCCUGGUAGUCCACGCUGUAAACGCUGUCGAUUUGGGGGUUGGGGUUUAACUCUGGCGCCCGUAGCUAACAUGAUAAAUCGACCGCCUGGGGAGUACGGCCGCAAGGUUA
rnacentral:rRNA from 1 species